rnacentral:lncRNA from 1 species
AUGAACCCCUAGAAUGUAUUUAUGUGGCGGAGUGGGGAAGGGGGAAAGAGAGAAUACAAAGAAACAAUGGUUCCUUUCGGGUUUGGCAGGGUAGGCGUUCUCCAGAGUUGUUUUAAAUUGCAGGGGAGAUGGCGGAAAUAAAUUGCUGCUUUAAAACAAGGGAUCGCCGUAGCUUGGAACUGUUUUAUGGCUCGGGAGGGGAGGAGAGGGAGGGGAACUUGACAUAGCGGGAUCUACUUGUAGAUUAGACGGCAUAAAUUAACCUAUAAAUCUUUUUUAUACAUCUCUCUCCCCACCCCACCCCACGCCGCCUCUGUUGCGUCGAGAACUUCUGCGUGUCGGCUGCGGAAAUAAUAUAUGGGGACACAAGGAAGAGUCAGGGCUGGUUACAUAGUGGGCGCACCUCCUUCCGUCUCCUGACCACCCUUUUUCCAGAGCCGUGCUCAAUGGCUUCGCCAAUUCCUCCUUGAAGAUAGGUUUUAAACAAACCAACAUGCAAAACCUUAAAUCCACGUAGGUUGACUCAAGAAAGAAAGAAAGAAAGAAAGAAGAAAGAAAGAAAGAAAGAAAGAAAGAAAGAAAGAAAGAAAGAAAGAAAGAAAGAAAGAAAGAAAGAAAGAAAGAAAGAAAGAAAGAAAGAAAGAAAAGCCUCCGCCGGGUGUGCUUAACACCCCCGAUGUGGCUUAUGCCCGGAACAAAUAUAGUCAUCUUUACGCUUCUGUGGGUCUUCCUCUCUCAAUCCCUCUUCUCGGGCGCGAUCCGGAGCGAAUAAAGCUCCUGUUAAAGUCCCCUCGGUGUCAACGAGAAAGCACCUGCUUAACUCUCUCUACGGCUGAAAUCCCUGGGAAGCCAACACGCUUCCCUUCCCCCUGCUGGAUCGGGCCCCAGCCUUAUUUAGAUGGGGUUCAGAGAGACUUCCACCCAGACGUUGAGGGAAUUUUCGCUCUUGAUGAUCCGGCACCUUGAUGGCUAACUUGCUUGCAACAAUCCAAGCGAUGUUCUUCACCCUCCUCUAGAUCACUCUUUAUGGGUCCAUCUUCACACGGUCGCAUGUAACCGAAACAAGUACGUAAGCCCCUUUCCCCUUGAUUCUCACCAGGCCUCUAAACAUUCCCCACGUUUAUACGAUAUAUUUAGGUUCUGGACAGAUCCCAACAACCAUAUUUACAGGCACGCACAUCGCUCCCUACACAAAAUGCUGGCUCCUUCAGUUCCUCUAUAGAAUUAUCCUCCAGGGUCGACGCUCCUGCCACCAGUCUCAGGAAGGAUAUUUUUAAAAUCAAGUCCACAAAUUAAAUGAUUUGAUCGGGAAGGCAGAACACACAAUCAUGUGUCUGUAUUUUAAUUUCAGUGGGCUGCACGGCUAUAAAGUGGCUCAAAGGCGAGCAGACAGACAGGCGGACGGAUAUAUAUAU